AGUUAAGAGGCAGUUAGGAGAGGCAGUUAGAGGAUGGGGAGUUAAGAUUAGGGUGAGAGAGAAAAGGACACUGGAAGAGAGUCUUCUCAGUUGAUAGUCUGGAAAUGGGACCGCAUCAACAGUGACUGAAGUUGUAUGCAAAGGCUUGCGGAAAGCACCUGUUUGUACGGGAAGAUUUACAAGGCAAUCAGCAGUCAAGUAACUCUUUGAUAUCACAAGCACUUUUUGCUCAGUGUUUUGAGAGUUGGGAACAGAUUUUCAAGAGAUAUUAGCAAAAUACAUGAUGGCGUUUGAUCAGAAACACGGUGAUGCUGCAAUUUCUACACUUCAAGUUCAAGUGGAUGAUGUGAAAAAUGUCAUGAGUCAGAAUAUUGAAAAAGUUUUGGACAGAGAGGAACGGCUGAGCGAGCUGGCUGAUCGAAGCGAUGAUCUCCAAACAGCGGCUCACGGUUUCCAAAAGACGUCUACAAAGAUUUCAAGGAAGAUGUGGUGGAAAAACACUAAAAUGAUCAUAAUUAUUGUUAGCGUUGUCCUCGUCAUAGUAGUGUUUAUCAUCCUUUUAGCCACAGGCACCAUUCCAACAUAAGGAUCCUUUUAAGCAGUUUCAAACAAUGCACGGGCAUUCUAUAAAGAGUUCUAGAUUGAAAGGCACAA